CAAUAGCGUAUAUUAAUGCUGCUGCGGUUGAAACGCUCGUAGUUGGACUUUGGGGUGUGCGCUGUGGUCGGCCUCCGGGCUGUAUUGCAGCGCGUGUCCUUAUGCCGUUAGCACCUCCCCUGGCUUCGGUUGGGGACUCGGGGUGAUAUCGGCCGGUUACUUUGAAGAAAUUAGAGUGUUCAAAGCAGGCCAACGCCUUGAAUACAUUAGCAUGGAAUAACAGAAUAGGACUUUGGUUCUUUUUGUUGGUUUCAAGGACUAGAGUAAUGAUUAAUAGGGACAGUUGGGGGCAUUCAUAUUCGACUGUCAGAGGUGAAAUUCUUGGAUUAGUCGAAGAUGAACUACUGCGAAAGCAUUUGCCAAGGAUGUUUUCAUUAA
rnacentral:rRNA from 1 species